ACGAACGCUGGCGGCGUGCCUCAUACAUGCAAGUAGAACGCUGAAGGAGGAGCUUGCUUCUCUGGAUGAGUUGCGAACGGGUGAGUAACGCGUAGGUAACCUGCCUGGUAGCGGGGGAUAACUAUUGGAAACGAUAGCUAAUACCGCAUAAUAGUAGAUGUUGCAUGACAUUUGCUUAAAAGGUGCAAUUGCAUCACUACCAGAUGGACCUGCGUUGUAUUAGCUAGUUGGUGGGGUAACGGCUCACCAAGGCGACGAUACAUAGCCGACCUGAGAGGGUGAUCGGCCACACUGGGACUGAGACACGGCCCAGACUCCUACGGGAGGCAGCAGUAGGGAAUCUUCGGCAAUGGACGGAAGUCUGACCGAGCAACGCCGCGUGAGUGAAGAAGGUUUUCGGAUCGUAAAGCUCUGUUGUAAGAGAAGAACGAGUGUGAGAGUGGAAAGUUCACACUGUGACGGUAUCUUACCAGAAAGGGACGGCUAACUACGUG
rnacentral:rRNA from 1 species